ACGGAAGGCAGCAGUAAGGAAUCUUGCACAAUGGGGAAACCCUGAUGCAGCAACGCCGCGUGAUUGAUGAAGGCCUUCUGGUUGUAAAACUCUGAUCUAAGGGAAGAAACAAAUGACGGUACCUUAGGAGAAAGCCCCGGCUAACUACGUGCCAGCAGCCGCGGUAAUACGUAGGGGGCAAGCGUUAUCCGGAAUUAUUGGGCGUAAAGAGUGCGUAGGUGGUUACCUAAGCGCAAGGUUUAAUCUUGAGGCUUAACCUCAUUCUGCCUUGCGAACUGGGCUACUGGAGUGCAGGAGGGGAAAGCGGAAUUCCUAGUGUAACGGUGAAAUGCGUAGAUAUUAGGAAGAACACCGGUGGCGAAGGCGGCUUUCUGGACUGUAACUGACACUGAGGCACGAAAGCGUGGGGAGCAAACAGGAUUAGAUACCCUGGUA
rnacentral:rRNA from 1 species